rnacentral:rRNA from 1 species
UCCAGACUCCUACGGGAGGCAGCAGUGGGGAAUAUUGCACAAUGGGGGGAACCCUGAUGCAGCGACGCCGCGUGGGUGAAGGAGUACUUCGGUACGUAAAGCCCUAUCAGCAGGAAAGAAAAUGACGGUACCUGACUAAGAAGCCCCGGCUAACUACGUGCCAGCAGCCGCGGUAAUACGUAGGGGGCAAGCGUUAUCCGGAUUUACUGGGUGUAAAGGGAGCGUAGGUGGCAUGGCAAGCCAGAAGUGAAAACCCGGGGCUUAACCCCGCGGAUUGCUUUUGGAACUGUCAGGCUGGAGUGCAGGAGGGGCAGGCGGAAUUCCUGGUGUAGCGGUGAAAUGCGUAGAUAUCAGGAGGAACACCGGUGGCGAAGGCGGCCUGCUGGACUGUAACUGACACUGAGGCUCGAAAGCGUGGGGAGCAAACAGGAUUAGAUACCCGCGUAUC